UAGGGAAUUUUCGUCAAUGGGCGCAAGCCUGAACGAGCAAUGCCGCGUGAGUGAGGAAGGUCUUCGGAUCGUAAAGCUCUGUUGCGGGGGAAAAAGGGUGAGAAGAGGGAAUGCUUUUCACUUGAUGGUACCCCGCCAGAAAGUCACGGCUAACUACGUGCCAGCAGCCGCGGUAAUACGUAGGUGGCGAGCGUUAUCCGGAAUGAUUGGGCGUAAAGGGUGCGCAGGCGGCAUGUCAAGUCUGAAGUGAAAGGUACAGGCUCAACCUGUACAGGCUUUGGAAACUGGCAUGCUCGAGGACAGGAGAGGGCGGUGGAACUCCAUGUGUAGCGGUAAAAUGCGUAGAUAUAUGGAAGAACACCAGUGGCGAAGGCGGCCGCCUGGACUGUUUACUGACGCUGAGGCACGAAAGCGUGGGGAGCAAAUAGG
rnacentral:rRNA from 1 species